GGCGGACGGGUGAGUAACGCGUGGGAAUCUGCCUACUAGCGGGGGAUAGCCCGGAGAAAUCCGGAUUAAUACCGCAUACGCCCUACGGGGGGAAAGCUGGGGAUCUUCGGACCUGGCACUAGUAGAUGAGCCCGCGUUGGAUUAGCUUGUUGGUGGGGUAAAGGCCUACCAAGGCAACGAUCCAUAGCUGUUCUGAGAGGAAGAUCAGCCACACUGGGACUGAGACACGGCCCAG
rnacentral:rRNA from 1 species